rnacentral:lncRNA from 1 species
UUGAAAUGUUGAAAAGGUAUGAGCUCCCAGAUAGUUUUGAGGGAAGAAAGGAAUGGAUAAAACUAGGGACGCAGUUCCGCAGGCAAGUUGAGCCCUUGGAUAUUGCAAACUAUUACAGGCAUUUGAAGAAUGAAGAUACAGGACCUUACAUGAUCAGGGCUAGGCCGAAGCGUUAUAGGUUCACACAACGAUGGUUAGAGCAUGAAGAGAUGGUGGAAACCAAACUAUUACAGGCAUUUGAAGAAUGAAGAUACAGGACCUUACAUGAUCAGGGCUAGGCCGAAGCGUUAUAGGUUCACACAACGAUGGUUAGAGCAUGAAGAGAGGGUGCAAACAGGUGAACGCUCUGAGUCUUGUUUUUGGGCAGAAGUGGAGGAACUAAGAAACAAGCCAAUUAUGGAAGUGCAAAACAGGAUUUUGAGUUUAGAAACAAAGGCAUGGGAUUGGUCCCAGAGUGGCCUUCUGGGCGAUGAUGUUUUCUUCCCUGAGUCUACCUUUACCAAAUGGUGGAAACAACUCCCUACUCAGCACAGAAUGACAUCUUGGAUAUCAGGGAAAGUAAAUUCUUAGCGUCUUUUACAGCUCCAUAUUACGCCAGCGCCAGCGCCCUAAUGUUUUGAUAAUGAUUUGUCCUAGCCAGCUUGCGGGUACUCCUAGUCCAAUGCUAUACUAAGAGAAGCCAGAUGGUUCAUAAGUGAAAAACGUCUGGAUAGGCUGAAAGCACUACAUUACUUCAAUAAGACCAACUGUAUGGUAUCUUAGCUCAGAUAAUUGAAAAUGCCUCAAUAUUCCUAGGAACUGCUUUGCUUGUAUGGUAGAAUAGUAGCAAGCAUACCAACAUUCAAGUAUUUAAGGUGGAAUACUACAUGCUCACGUUUUCUCCAAGUAAGAACGUUUUAAGAACCUGAAUUCCUUAAAUUAACCACGCUGACAAAACUUGGAUUACACAACUUUUUUAAUAGGAAGAAAUAUGAACAACAUAAUAGCGGCAGAAGGCCAAGGUCUAGAUGUCAAAUAUUAAAUAUGAUUGUUAAUCCUUCUAGCAGAAAAAGGAUUCCACAACCAUCACAUCAUCAGAGGGGAAAGUAGCAUGUUUGCUACGAGUUCAACCAAAACCAGCAUUUUCAAUAUAUCUAUGUACAAAUUUCUAAAAUUUAAUCUUGAACUGCCUCUGUACAUCAUAAUUGCUUGGAAGGAAGGUCUCAGUUGCCUUCUGCAUGUAUGAGAUUCUUUUUCCUCUAUCUGUCACACUGACAGCCAAUUCCAUACACGAAUUUGGAAAACAUAACCUCAUGAAACUCCUGAACGUCACAAUAAUGUGUAAAUCACACAGAACCAAACUUGUGUGGGUGUGGGUCCUGUCCACCAACAACCUUAUCACACAUGGAAAACAUGCAAAGAUCUCAUUUAUUUAUCCCUGGACAAAAGCCUCUAACAGAAUAGAGGAACUUCAAUAAUAGCAAGGAGAUGAUCAACCAUAGUCCAAAGUCUUCUUCUCCAUGGAAAACCAAUCGACUUGUACAAGGGAAAAAGGAGCAAAACCACAUAAUUAAUGCUACUUCUUUACAAACAAUUGGCAGACUAACAUAAUCUUGUUAACAUCCAGUAAGCAGACAGCAGAAAUAAAGCUUAGAAAAAGUUUGAGAUACUCGAUAGAAG